rnacentral:rRNA from 1 species
AGUGAACGCUGGCGGUAGGCCUAACACAUGCAAGUCGAACGGCAGCACAGGAGAGCUUGCUCUCUGGGUGGCGAGUGGCGGACGGGUGAGGAAUACAUCGGAAUCUACCUUUCCGUGGGGGAUAACGUAGGGAAACUUACGCUAAUACCGCAUACGACCUUCGGGUGAAAGCAGGGGACCUUCGGGCCUUGCGCGGAUAGAUGAGCCGAUGUCGGAUUAGCUAGUUGGCGGGGUAAAGGCCCACCAAGGCGACGAUCCGUAGCUGGUCUGAGAGGAUGAUCAGCCACACUGGAACUGAGACACGGUCCAGACUCCUACGGGAGGCAGCAGUGGGGAAUAUUGGACAAUGGGCGCAAGCCUGAUCCAGCCAUACCGCGUGGGUGAAGAAGGCCUUCGGGUUGUAAAGCCCUUUUGUUGGGAAAGAAAAGCAACCAGUUAAUACCUGGUUGUUCUGACGGUACCCAAAGAAUAAGCACCGGCUAACUUCGUGCCAGCAGCCGCGGUAA